GCUUCCGAGUUAUUAUUUGCUCUCGUUGGGGUCCGCAUAUAGUAGCAGCAAUUCGAUAGUGAUUAGUGCCAGAUUACAUUAUUUCCCCCUGCUGCAUUGCUUUGGUAACCAUCGCAGAUACUACUAGUCACGUAUUUCCGCCUCUUAAAUCAUGCCAUGUGUCCUUUUGGUGUGACUCCAUUUCUCUGCUUUGACGUUGUUCUUUGCCCAACAGAGACCCUCGACGAUGACGCUCACAAAAUCAUGACCAAGGUCGAGCAGCGCAAUGUGCUGGAGUACAGGGUCAUCAAGGACACGAUGAACCGCCGUUCCGUACGCCCGUCAUGGGGUCUGCUCCUUCCCCACCAGGACGACGCCAUCGAAGGUGCCAGCGACCAAGGCGACGCCAUGGAAACUGCUUGUGCUCUGCUCCUUUCCCACCAGAAUGAUGCCAUGGAAGCAUGAUUGAUUUGGUACUGCAUCAUCACCGGUUAAUUCAGAGGACAAGGGAUUCAUUGUGCGUGUCUCCCUUCGACCAAUGAGGCGCGGCGCUGUUCGGCACUGGCUGCAAAACAACCACGGAUUGGAUUAUGUACAAAAGAGGACAGGGGGUUCAUCAUGGCGCUAUGGCUGUCUCCAAGCCUCGGUGGCAUCUUCCAUAGGCCCCGCUGUCGUGCGACGGUUGCGCUGUUUGGCAUCGUCUACAAAACAGCCAAGGAUUGGGUUAGGUCCAACAUAGGAGAAGGGGAUGUUCAUCACGGUGCUAGGCCACCGUCUCCAGCCACGGCGGCGUCUUCUGUUUGGCAUCGGCUGCAAAACAGCCAAGAUGAGCAGCAAGAGUGUUGGGCGUGCCACAGUGGAGGCGUACAGGAGGAUGGCAUUUCAUUGGCGAGAGAGUUGAACGUCGCAGUUUUACGACGAGCAUGGCAUUUUAACUGCCUUUAUUUUUUGUAUCUAUCUAUCCAUCCUUGAUGAUGUGAUUUGCUGUCACGUCAGCCGGAAAUCAGUAUGUAGUGUGCUUGUGGAGUCUGGGCUGGAUCAAGAUCCACAUCCAGAUCCAGUGGUGCUUAGCUUAGUUACCUCUGUCCCAAAUUAUAACAUGUUUUGGUAAACAUCUUAUAAUUUGGAACAGAGGAAGUAGAUAAGGUGAGGUGAGCUUUUGUUUAUUUCCUGCUCCAUUCGCAUUUUUGUGUAACUGGUCUUGUGCUUGUUAACAUAGAAAACAAAAAAAAAUGAUAUGUGACGUUAUGGUCAC